rnacentral:misc_RNA from 1 species
GCAUCGAUGAAGAACGCAGCAAAAUGCGAUACCUGGUGUGAAUUGCAGAAUCCCGCGAACCAUCGAGUUUUUGAACGCAAGUUGCGCCCGAAGCCUUCUGGCGGAGGGCACGUCUGCCUGGGCGUCACGCCAAAAGACACUCCCAACACCCCCCCGCGGGGCGAGGGACGUGGCGUCUGGCCCCCCGCGCCGCACGGCGAGGUGGGCCGAAGCAGGGGCUGCCGGCGAACCGCGCCGGGCGCAGCACGUGGUGGGCGACAUCAAGUUGUUGUUCUCGGUGCAGCGUCCCGGCGCGCGGCCGGCCAUUCGGCCCUAAGGACCCAUCGAGCGACCGAGCUUGCCCUCGGACCGCGACCCCAGGUCAGUCGGGACUACCCGCUGAGUUUAAGCAUAUCAAUAA